UACGGAGGGUCCGAGCGUUAUCCGGAUUUAUUGGGUUUAAAGGGUGCGUAGGCGGCCUGUUAAGUCAGGGGUGAAAGACGGUAGCUCAACUAUCGCAGUGCCCUUGAUACUGAUGGGCUUGAAUGUACUAGAGGUAGGCGGAAUGUGACAAGUAGCGGUGAAAUGCAUAGAUAUGUCACAGAACACCAAUUGCGAAGGCAGCUUACUAUGGUAGUAUUGACGCUGAGGCACGAAAGCGUGGGGAGCAAACAGG
rnacentral:rRNA from 1 species